AGAUGCUUAUCCAUGCAUUGGUGAGAUGAGGUGAACGACUUUUUCAAUAAGGCAAGAUUAGGUCACUUCAGAUUAUGACAAGGAAAAAUUACAAGAAAGAUUAGCCAAGAUUUCUGGGGGUGUUGCAGUGCUUAAGAGGAUAAAAAGUGCAGGAACAAAUCCAAUAUUUGAGAUUGGGUCGCUCAAGUUUGAGGGAUCCCAAAUCCACCGGUUAAUAAGAGAGUGAUCCCAUUCAAGUCAAUGUUGAUUGACAUGAAGUUGAAAUUAAAGAGUACUGAAUUCUAGAUCCACUUUCGCAACAGGGGAAACCAUGGUCACUUCACUUGGGCUUGCUGUGACAUCAACCUUUUCAAUUUUGUAAACAAGUAAAUCUUGAAAAUUCAAGUACUUGCUGCAGUCAUUGAUGGAAAGAAACCUGCAACAGUGUCUGGUACCUUGAUCAAUGCAACAUAAUUUGUAUUCAAAGUUUUGAGAAGGUUCGAGAAAGGAUUGAAGAGCAGGACCAGGGGGAGGGGGCUACAGCUUUUCCUUUAAGCGGUUUGAAAGGUGAAUUUUUUUUCUCUGCUUAACGGCGUCAAAGUUAUUUGAACGGGGACAACAGUUGUAGAAAUUACAGCCAUAUGUCAAAUUCUGAUUGGGCAACAGCAUGUACUACAUGUAAGUUUUACCCUUUCUUUUUUUUGUACUUUACAAUAAAAUACACAAUAGUUUGUAA